rnacentral:lncRNA from 1 species
UAAAAUAUAACUAAGUAAUCUAAUACAAAAUAAAGUCAGGGAGAUAGGACAUCGAGCAUAAGAUCCAGAUAGGUGAAGACAUGAUCAGCCUCGUCUGCGAUUGAAGGGUUUGGUCUGAGAAGAGGAUGCAGGAGGACAAAAAGCAAUGGACUGAACAAAAGCUGGCUCACUAGAUGCAGAGGGCCUAGAUAGAAGCUGAGUCCUAAUAGAUCAAGCUGGGACAAGACCUCCCUCACAGAGACUUGGAGCCCAUCC